rnacentral:lncRNA from 12 species
CAACAGUCUGGAUCUUAGCUACAAGGACAGUAACAACGCCUCCUUCAAGGGAUGUAUAAGCAGGGUGAUGUAUAGUGGCUGUUCUGUUGCCAGGAGAGCCAGCUGAACAUUAGCUGUGGCUUCAGGCACUCCCAGGAUUUCCCAGCUCGGCUACAUGCAACCCUUUUGUUCAGAUCAAUAUCUAAGCCACAAAAUCAUCCUUCUCUGGUGGAGAGGCUUGCAUUAGCUGAAGAUUACCAG